rnacentral:rRNA from 1 species
UACGUAGGGUGCGAGCGUUGUCCGGAAUUAUUGGGCGUAAAGAGCUCGUAGGCGGUCUGUCGCGUCGGUCGUGAAAACUUGGGGCUUAACCCUGAGCUUGCGGUCGAUACGGGCAUGACUGGAGUUCGGUAGGGGAGACUGGAAUUCCUGGUGUAGCGGUGAAAUGCGCAGAUAUCAGGAGGAACACCGGUGGCGAAGGCGGGUCUCUGGGCAGUAACUGACGCUGAGGAGCGAAAGCGUGGGGAGCGAACAGG